rnacentral:rRNA from 1 species
UACGGGGGGGAGCAAGCGUUGUUCGGAUUUACUGGGCGUAAAGGGCGCGUAGGCGGCCACCGCAAGUCGACUGUGAAAUCUCCGGGCUUAACCCGGAAAGGUCAGCCGAUACUGCGGGGCUAGAGUGCAGAAGGGGCAACUGGAAUUCUCGGUGUAGCGGUGAAAUGCGUAGAUAUCGAGAGGAACACCUGCGGCGAAGGCGGGUUGCUGGGCUGAACACGUGACGCUGGAGGCGCGAAAGCCAGGGGAGCGAACGGG